UGCAUAUACGCUUUAUUUGGUUCCUGCACAAGAGGGUGGACAAGCCUAGUAUACAAACAUAUGUACAGACAGACAGACAGACAGACAGACAGACAGACGGACAGACAGACAAGACAGACAGACAGACAGACAGGCGGAGAAAUAUAAACACAAUCAUCGACGGAGCUUAAUCUGACUUCAUCGUUGUCGCUAUUAAAUGUUCUCUUGUUUUCCUCGGCCAAGAGUCAAAUGAGGGUUGGGAAAGGAAGGAAGGAAGGAAGGAAGGAAGGGAGGAAGGAAGGAAGGGAGAAAGGAAGGGAGGAAGGAAGGAAGGAAGUCAAAUGAGGGGUUGGGAAAGGAAGGAAGGAAGGGAGGAAGGAAGGAAGGAAGUGAAAUGAGAGGUUGGGAAAGGAAGGAAGGAAGGAAGGAAGGAAGGAAGUCAAAUGAGAGGUUGGGAAAGGAAGGAAGGGAGGAAGGAAGGAAGGAAGGAAGGAAGGAAGGAAGGAAGUCAAAUGAGGGGUUGGGAAAGGAAGGAAGGGAGGAAGGAAGGAAGGAAGUCAAAUGAGGGGUUGGGAAAGGAAGGAAGGAAGGAAGGAAGGAAGGAAGUCAAAUGAGGGGUUGGGAAAAGAAGGAAGGAAGGAAGGGAGGAAGGAAGGAAGGAAGUCAAAUGAGAGGUUGGGAAAGGAAGGAAGGAAGGAAGGAAGGAAGACAAAUGAGAGGUUGGGAAAGGAAGGAAGGAAGGAAGGAAGGAAGGAAGUCAAAUGAAGGUUGGGAAAGGAAGGAAGGAAGGAAGGAAGGAAGACAAAUGAGAGGUUGGGAAAGGAAGGAAGGAAGGAAGGAAGGAAGACAAAUGAGAGGUUGGGAAAGGAAGGAAGGAAGGAAGGAAGGAAGUCAAAUGAGGGUUGGGAAAGGAAGGAAGUCAAAUGAGGGUUGGGAGAGGAAGGAAGGAAGGAAGGAAGGAAGGAAGGAAGUCAAAUGAGGGUUGGGAGAGGAAGGAAGGAAGGAAGGAAGGAAGACAAAUGAGAAUCUAACUCGUAACUUUUUUUUCACAUUAUAUACAAAUCAUUAUCUGUACAAGGAGAGAGAGAGAGAGAGAGAGAGAGAGAGAGAGAGAGAGAGAGAGAGAGAGAGAGAGAGAGAGAGAGAGAGAGAGAGAGAGAGAGAGAGAGAGAGA